GCGGCCGUGACCCUGCUGGAGUGCGGGGGGGACCUCCAGCCCCCCGGGGGGUCCCUGCGCCUCCUCUGCCAAGCAUCUGGGUCCGAUUUUGGGAAAUUUGCGAUGGGCUGGGUUCGACAGAGACCCGGGCAGGGACUGGAAUACAUCGCCAGCAUCACCAGUUAUGAUGGCAGCACCAGGUACGCGGGUUCAGUCAAGGGCCGGUUCAGGAUCUCCAGGGACAGCGGGCAGAGCUCGCUGACGCUGACCAUGAACAACCUCAAGGACGAGGAUUCCACCAUCUAUUUCUGUGCCAAGGAUUCCUAUGGU